rnacentral:misc_RNA from 1 species
GAAAUGCGAUAAGUAGUGGGAAUUGCAGAAUUCAGUGAAUCAUCGAAUCUUUGAACGCACAUUGCGUCCGCCAGCACUCUGGCGGGCAUGCCUGUUCGAGCGUCAUUUCAACCCUCAGAACCCCUUGCGGGAUCUGGCGUUGGGGAUUGGCAUCCAGCCAGCCCCGAAAUCUAGUGGCGGUCCCUCCGCGACCUCCCCUGUGCAGUAGCGAUACCUCGCAGCGGGACAGCGGUCUGACCACGCCGUAAAACCCCCAACUUCUCAAGGUUGACCUCGAAUCAGGUAGGAAUACCCGCUGAACUUAAGC